rnacentral:rRNA from 1 species
UACGGAGGGUGCGAGCGUUGUCCGGAAUCACUGGGCGUAAAGGGUGCGUAGGUGGCGUGGUAAGUCUGGUGUGAAAUCCCGGGGCUCAACCCCGGAACUGCACUGGAUACUGCCAUGCUUGAGUACUGGAGAGGAGAUUGGAAUUUACGGUGUAGCAGUGAAAUGCGUAGAUAUCGUAAGGAAGACCAGUGCGAAGGCGAAUCUCUGGACAGUUACUGACACUGAGGCAGCGAAGGCCAGGGGAGCAAAACGGGG